AACGAACGCUGGCGGCAUGCCUAACACAUGCAAGUCGAGCGAGACCUUCGGGUCUAGUGGCGCACGGGUGCGUAACGCGUGGGAACCUGCCCCUAGGUUCGGAAUAACUCCCCGAAAGGGGUGCUAAUACCGGAUAAUGUCUUCGGACCAAAGAUUUAUCGCCUUUGGAUGGGCCCGCGUUGGAUUAGCUAGUUGGUAGGGUAAAAGCCUACCAAGGCGACGAUCCAUAGCUGGUCUGAGAGGAUGAUAAGCCACACUGGGACUGAGACACGGCCCAGACUCCUACGGGAGGCAGCAGUGGGGAAUAUUGGACAAUGGGCGAAAGCCUGAUCCAGCAAUGCCGCGUGAGUGAUGAAGGCCUUAGGGUUGUAAAGCUCUUUUACCCGGGAUGAUAAUGACAGUACCGGGAGAAUAAGCUCCGGCUAACUCCGUG
rnacentral:rRNA from 1 species